rnacentral:snoRNA from 1 species
AUCCCAAAUAAACUUCUCUCUGUCUAUUUGAUUCAUGGGAGGCAUAUAUUGAUACUGGGAGUUCGCUGACAGCUCCUUUCUUUUCUUAAGGGGGUGUUUCAAUAAUACCUCUCCGUACACAU